rnacentral:tRNA from 1 species
AAGAUUAGGGUUUGAAGAUGUUAUUACAGGAGUAUAAUCCCAGUAAAUAAAAUUUGGAAGACAAAAAGAUCG